CUGCGGAUUUCAGCUCAACCUGCCUUUGCUUAUAAUGCAUGACAUAGCCUGUGAGGGAGCCUGAGAACCGUCCCUCUUCAAAAGCAAGGUUCCCAUGCUUGGCCUGUAACCAUGGAAGCAGAUGCCUUUUUUGCUUACCCCUGCUUACCUCUUUGCAGCCACGAGCUGCUCCCUAUUGUUAAAAGGGGUACGCCUUGAUUUUUCUUCGUCGUGACCGAACUUGCCUCUUCUUCAAAGGGCAUGAUGCUGCAGGUCAUUGGUCUAGACUGUUUGCACGGUCCAGAGAACAGCCUUGAUGUAACCCUUGCUCCGUCUGUGCCACACCACCAGCCGCGCGACUGCAGACUGUAGGGGGACAUCGGAGAUCUGUAUUUGAAAAGAAGUCCGUCCGAUUUUGCCAUUGUGCCUUUUCAGUCAUCGAUCGAAUGAAUAUCGAACCUUCUGUCGUUGCAUGUGUGAAAUAGAUAGCUUAGCAAGCACUUUUGUGCCCAGACCUGUGCAGUGGGCCAAACUCUUCUCCUUUAUUCACAAAUAUUUUUUUUUGCAAUAUAGUAAUUUCUUAGGUACUUUAAAUACCAGCAUCCUAACGUUGGACCAGCCUCAGAAAAGAGCUUUGUUUUUUAUUCUUUUUUGCUGUAAUCUGCUUGAUGGAGCCGCUACUUAUUUGGGGUUUUAUUUUUCUUUUAAGUUCUUUCUCUUUUACCCAUUCCCAGUUGAACAUCAGCCCCCCUAGAAGUGCAAAGGAGGGCUAAUUUAAUUUUAAAAAAAUUGUAUCGAUAGACGUCCAAAACCCAACAAGAAAUUCUGAAAAUCUUGCUAAGUCAGUGAGAAAAUGCAGCUGAAGUGCUCAACCAAAGAGUUCAACAGGACUCCAGGAACUGCAGGGUUGGGGGAGAUGCUCUAAUACCUUAGAACAGAAGAGCCAGAAAUGUAUGGAAAAUGAUACAUUCUUGAAAUCAAUCGGUAAGCAAGUUUUUCCUCUUCUUUUAAUAGAACGGCAAACUCUCUGACCGCUGCCUGUCAAAAAACAAUAACCCAGUGACAGCCAUCAGCACCUACUCAUUGAAAAAUAUGCCCGUCUCUACUCUGUUCUAAUAAAAUGCGGAUUGCAUCAAAAAGGGAAUAUUCUUCAGGGUGUUGCUUACCCAGUGUUGUCUGUAUAUGACAUCAGUAUAUAUAUUUUUGAGAUACUACUAUCUCGUACUUCAAGGCAUACCUAUUUUCUCUAAUUGCCAGAGGCUAAGGGGAGGUGCACUAAAGAAUAAAGAAGGUUAUUGUGACAGAUGAAACAUAAUUCACAAUGAGUACUCUUUUCAUCCAGCCUUAAGUAGCAGAGGAUUACUCCGAGCUGAAUUUUAGGGGAGUAUGUAUGAUCUGAUUUAAUAAUAUGAGGACAGGCCACAAGCUGGAAGGCAAUAUAAACCAAUUAUGCUUUUGCUGAAUGUUUGGGGGGUUUUGUUGUUGUUUUUGGUGUUUUUUUUCCCUCUUCUUUUCUGGAAGGUGAAGAAAUGUUAACGUGAAGAGUGUCUGAAGAAACACGAGGAAAAGUAAGAAGUGCCGAGAAAUAAAAGUUGGGAUUUUCUGGAAUGGAUAUUGAUAAAUGAUUAUUCUAUAUUUCUGCUUCAUGACACUUAAAUGAAAUAAGACCAUGCAAUUUCUUCAGUAAACAUGCGCUGUGAAAGUAGGUAAACUAAUUUUGAUACACUUACUGAACUUGUAUUGCUUCCGAGAAAUUCAUACAUGAGUCUUCUAAAAAUGCUGUACAAUAUCAAGUUUAGAUGUAGAUAAGUGUGACAGUAAAAUAACUUUCUGCUAAAUGUGUACACUGCUUUUCUGAUUCAUUGCUUUAAUAUUUAAACAGUAAAGAGGUAAGCUUGCUUGUGUAUUUUAUAUGUUUGCUUCCUUAAAGUGUGCUUUGGGAAAGGUUUACUUAGCAUAAAUUACUGUGUUAGAUUCUAAAAGGAAUUUUCUUUAAACUGUUUCAGCUUUAAUGUAAUAAUUUUUAUUUAUUUAUUUUCUUUUUGUGUUUGUGUUUUAAAAUUGCAUUCAGAAUAUCUGGACAUAUGUAGGUAGAUAAAGUGCAGAAACUGUUAAGGCACUUGGAAAAAGAACUAACCUACAUCUUGUUUUGUUUAAAGAUAUGUUAAUUUAGAUAAAUUAUUAAGCAAAAAAAAAAAAAACAUUAAAAAAUCCAUUUUAAUAGAAGUGUUAAUAAAGUCAUCAUUGAUCUCAAAUAAUGCUUCUACACAUGCUGUAUAAUUUUGUAUGCAAAAUAAAAUCAUUUUUAGAUAGAUUCUGCAUGUCUUUUUCAAGUAUUUCAUUCUGUUAAAAAAAUCACAGAAAACAAAACAAACCCAAAGCAAUGCUUUAAUAUAUUCUUAUUU
rnacentral:lncRNA from 1 species